rnacentral:rRNA from 1 species
UAAAGCGGCGCACGGGUGAGUAACACGUGGGUAUGUACCUGUUAGUGGGGAAUAACCCUGGGAAACCGGGGCUAAUACCGCAUAAGUCCGAGAGGAGAAAGCCGAAAGGCGCUGACAGAGCAGCCCGCGGUCGAUUAGCUAGUUGGUGAGGUAAUGGCUCACCAAGGCGACGAUCGAUAGCCGGCCUGAGAGGGCACACGGCCACACUGGCACUGAAACACGGGCCAG